rnacentral:rRNA from 1 species
CACGUAGGGCGCAAGCGUUGUCCGGAAUUAUUGGGCGUAAAGAGCGCGCAGGCGGCUUGGUAAGUCGGAUGUGAAAUCCCGAGGCUCAACCUCGGGUCUGCAUCCGAUACUGCCCGGCUAGAGGUAGGUAGGGGAGAUCGGAAUUCCUGGUGUAGCGGUGAAAUGCGCAGAUAUCAGGAGGAACACCUGUGGCGAAAGCGGCUCUCUGGACCACAACUGACGCUGAGGCGCGAAAGCUAGGGGAGCAAACAGG